rnacentral:rRNA from 1 species
UACGUAGGGUGCAAGCGUUGUCCGGAAUUAUUGGGCGUAAGGAGCUCGUAGGCGGUUUGUCGCGUCGGCUGUGAAAACCCGGAGCUCAACUCCGGGCCUGCAGUCGAUACGGGCGGACUAGAGUUCGGCAGGGGAGACUGGAAUUCCUGGUGUAGCGGUGAAAUGCGCAGAUAUCAGGAGGAACACCGGUGGCGAAGGCGGGUCUCUGGGCCGAUACUGACGCUGAGGAGCGAAAGCGUGGGGAGCGAACAGG